GGAAUGUGAUGGUUUCACUAUCGUCGCAAACUCAGAAUGUGAACCAUUUGUCAUGCGCAGCACAGCCAUGAAUUUUAUAUUGUGUCAUUGGAUUUUAGAGAUAAAUGUCAGGCAAUCAGAUAAAAAGGGGGUCAUGAAUCAAUACCUAAACAUAAAACCAGAGAAAUUACAAAAUGCUCUGUUUUUAUGUGAGGUAGAAAAGGAGACCAUUCUUCAGAGCAAAAUCAAAAGACUGGCUAACUCGGGUUAUAACAAAUGGCACCGAAUAAAAAAUGCUGUAAUC